rnacentral:rRNA from 1 species
AAAUGGCUGCAGUAUUUUAACUGUACAAAGGUAGCAUAAUCAUUAGUCUUUUAAUUGAAGGCUUGUAUGAAUGGUUGGACGAAAUAUUAACUGUUUCAUGAAAAAUUAUUUUAGAAUUUUAUUUUUUAGUUAAAAAGCUAAAAUUUACUUAAAAGACGAGAAGACCCUAUAGAUCUUUAUAUUUAAUGUAUUAUAGUUAUUUAGAUUAUUUAAAUUAUGAUUAUGUUAAUUAUUUUGUUGGGGUGACAUUAAAAUUUAAUUAACUUUUAAUUUUUAUUAUACAUUAAUUUAUGAAUUAUUGAUCCAUUAAUAAUGAUUAAAAAAUUAAGUUACCUUAGGGAUAACAGCGUAAUUUUUUUGAAGAGUUCAUAUCGAUAAAAAAGAUUGCGACCUCGAUGUUGGAUUAAGAUAUAAUUUUGGGUGCAGCAAUUCAAUUAUUAAGUC